CCUACGGGUGGCAGCAGUCGAGAAUCAUUCACAAUGGGGGAAACCCUGAUGGUGCGACGCCGCGUGGGGGAAUGAAGGUCUUCGGAUUGUAAACCCCUGUCAUGUGGGAGCAAAUUAAAACGAUCGUACCACAAGAGGAAGAGACGGCUAACUCUGUGCCAGCAGCCGCGGGAAUACAGAGGUCUCAAGCGUUGUUCGGAAUCACUGGGCGUAAAGCGUGCGUAGGCUGUUUCGUAAGUCGUGUGUGAAAGGCGCGGGCUCAACCCGCGGACGGCACAUGAUACUGCGAGACUAGAGUAAUGGAGGGGGAACCGGAAUUCUCGGUGUAGCAGUGAAAUGCGUAGAUAUCGAGAGGAACACUCGUGGCGAAGGCGGGUUCCUGGACAUUAACUGACGCUGAGGCACGAAGGCCAGGGGAGCGAAAGGGAUUAGAUACCCGAGUAGUC
rnacentral:rRNA from 1 species